AUUGAACGCUGGCGGCAGGCCUAACACAUGCAAGUCGAACGGUAACAGGAAGCAGCUUGCUGCUUCGCUGACGAAUGGCGGACGGGUGAGUAAUGUCUGGGAAGCUGCCUGAUGGAGGGGGAUAACUACUGGAAACGGUAGCUAAUACCGCAUAAUGUCGCAAGACCAAAGAGGGGGACCUUCGGGCCUCUUGCCAUCGGAUGUGCCCAGAUGGGAUUAGCUUGUUGGUGGGGUAACGGCUCACCAAGGCGACGAUCCCUAGCUGGUCUGAGAGGAUGACCAGCCACACUGGAACUGAGACACGGUCCAGACUCCUACGGGAGGCAGCAGUGGGGAAUAUUGCACAAUGGGCGCAAGCCUGAUGCAGCCAUGCCGCGUGUAUGAAGAAGGCCUUCGGGUUGUAAAGUACUUUCAGCGGGGAGGAAGGGAGUAAAGUUAAUACCUUUGCUCAUUGACGUUACCCGCAGAAGAAGCACCGGCUAACUCCGUG
rnacentral:rRNA from 1 species